GAGGCAUCCACUGGAGGGCAGUGUGGCAACUCGGAAGCGCUCUGAGAAGAGGUCGCAGAAGGGCUUCCCAUCCUCUCUCCCGUUGGCCCUCUGUCCGUGCCAGGGAUUGAACCUAGGGCCUCACACAUACUAGAGUGCCUGCUCCUGUUCCUGAGAAGGGAGGUGAUGGAGUUACUGAGGAAGAACCCUUCUACCCUGCAUGCCUACCUUAUAUACGGAAGCUGCUACAGAACAUAAUAAGCAGAACCGCACAUGCUGACAGAUUCCCCAGAACGCACUGCCAUGAAGACACCUAUCUACCUAGGGUCUACACUGGAAGAGACACCAAAGAGACAUUGUCAGAAUUUGCUUGCACAGGAGAAAGAAGAAGAAAAGUCAGAUAAGGUUUUAAAAUUUGGAUGAGUAAGCUGUGACCUUAGCAAGUGAUUAAUCUUUCUGAGCCUCAGUUUCUUUCUGCAUCACUGCAUAUUGUGAAGAUCUCAGUGAAUGCUAGCUUCCCCUUUGUUGGAAAUGGAAGGCAGGGGGGAUAGAGAGGACUGGCAGGCCUGUCAGAUUGAAGAGGGAGGUCCUGGGAGAGAACAACAGAGGACCAGCAGGCUAACCAGAUUGUAAGCGGGUGGGGACAUCCCUUUGCCCAGUCCUCUCUUCUCCAGAGGGUGUGGCCCUCAUAGAUCUUUCCUUCCCAGCCCCGCUGACCCAGCGACUGGCUGGCAGUCUUGGAGGCAUGGGCCCAGCUGGUGAGCAGGAGCCUUGGAGAAGGGGAGGUGGUGGCAAGGGAGUUCAUGGCACCCUUCAAAUGUGUGGGGCACAGCAGUAGGAAGAGUACUAUCCUCCUUGACCCUCAUCCCCAGUCCAGCAUCUCCUUUAGACCUGUUUCCCUGGGUUCUUCCCAAACUCUUUGCAGAUUCCCCUUGGCUCCCUCCUGGCUGCUCCAACUCACAUGUGCUGCUUUCGAAUAAAGGAACUUGGAACCAC